rnacentral:rRNA from 1 species
UGGGGAAUAUUGGGCAAUGGAGGCAACUCUGACCCAGCCAUGCCGCGUGGGUGACGAAGGUCUUCGGAUUGUAAAGCCCUUUCGGCGGGGACGAUGAUGACGGUACCCGCAGAAGAAGCCCCAGCUAACUUCGUGCCAGCAGCCGCGGUAAUACGAAGGGGGCUAGCGUUGUUCGGAAUUACUGGGCGUAAAGGGCGUGUAGGCGGCCCGCUAAGUCAGGUGUGAAAUUCCUGGGCUCAACCCAGGACGUGCACUUGAGACUGACGGGCUUGAGUCCGGGAGAGGAUGGUGGAACUCCCAGUGUAGAGGUGAAAUUCGUAGAUAUUGGGAAGAACACCCGUGGCGAAGGCGGCCAUCUGGACCGGUACUGACGCUAAGGCGCGACAGCGUGGGGAGCAAACA